rnacentral:rRNA from 1 species
AUGUUCCAGUGGCAGAUUGGAGCAAACUCUUGGUCAGAGCACCCUCUCAGGCCCGGUGCUGCAGGCAUCAUGCAGAUUGUCAUCUUUAAAGGUCAGGUUUUUGCCAUGGACUUUUCUGAAGGCUCCACAUCAUACAAUUGGAACCUCAGUACAAGAUUUGUGUGUAAAGGACCAGGAUGUUGGCUUGCAUGA